AUUGAACGCUGGCGGCAGGCCUAACACAUGCAAGUCGAGCGGAGCGGCGGACGGGUGGGUAAUGCCUAGGAAUCUGCCUGGUAGUGGGGGAUAACGUCCGGAAACGGGCGCUAAUACCGCAUACUAUCAGAUGAGCCUAGGUCGGAUAAGCUAGUUGGUGGGGUAAAGGCCUACCAAGGGGACGAUCCGUAACUGGUCUGAGUGGAUGAUCAGUCACCCUGGGACUGAGACACGGCCCAGACUCCUACGAGAGGCAGCAGUGGGGAAUUUUGGACAACGGGGGCAAGCAUGAUCCAGCCAGGCCGCGUGUGUGAAGAAGGCCUUCGGGUUGUAAAGGACUUUUGUCAGGGAAGCGGUACCUGAAGAAGAAGCACCGGCUAACUACGUGCCAGCAGCCGCGGUAAUUC
rnacentral:rRNA from 1 species